AUUGAACGCUGGCGGCAGGCUUAACACAUGCAAGUCGAGCGGAGAGAGGUAGCUUGCUACUGAUCUUAGCGGCGGACGGGUGAGUAAUGCUUAGGAAUCUGCCUAUUAGUGGGGGACAACAUUUCGAAAGGAAUGCUAAUACCGCAUAUGUCCUACGGGAGAAAGCAGGGGAUCUUCGGACCUUGCGCUAAUAGAUGGGCCUAAGUCGGAUUAGCUAGUUGGUGGGGUAAAGGCCUACCAAGGCGACGAUCUGUAGCGGGUCUGAGAGGAUGAUCCGCCACACUGGGACUGAGACGCGGCCCAGACUCCUACGGGAGGCAGCAGUGGGGAAUAUUGGACAAUGGGCGGAAGCCUGAUCCAGCCAUGCCGCGUGUGUGAGGAAGGCCUUAUGGUUGUAAAGCACUUUAAGCGAGGAGGAGGCUACUUUAGUUAAUACCUAGAGAUAGUGGACGUUACUCGCAGAAUAAGCACCGGCUAACUCUGUGCCAGCCGCCGCGGUAAAAC
rnacentral:rRNA from 1 species